rnacentral:rRNA from 1 species
GACGAACGCUGGCGGCGUGCCUAAUACAUGCAAGUUGAGCGCUGAAGGUUGGUACUUGUGCCAACUGGAUGAGCAGCGAACGGGUGAGUAACGCGUGGGUAAUCUGCCUUUGAUCGGGGGACAACAUUUGGAAACGAAUGCUAAUACCGCAUAAAAACUUUAAACACAAGAUUUAAGUUUGAAAGAUGCAAUUGCAUCACUCAAAAAUGAUCCCGCGUUGGAUUAGCUAGGUGGUGAGGUAAAGGCUCACCAAGGCGAUGAUACAUAGGCGACCUGAGAGGGUGAUCGGCCAAAAUGGGAAUGAGAAACGGCCCAAACCCCUACGGGAGGCAGCAGUAGGGAAUCUUCGGCAAUGGACGAAAGGCUGACCGAGCAACGCCGCGUGAGUGAAGAAGGUCUUCGGAUCGGAAAACUCUGUUGGUAGAGAAGAAAGUUGGUGAGAGUGGAAAGCUCAUCAAGUGACGGUAACUACCCAGAAAGGGACGGCUAACUACGUG